UGUUAAAAUUUUCAUCAAUUUGUACUUUUAAAAACUAACAUGGCUGGCAGAAAAAUUAGGCAAUAACAUGUAUUGUGCCACACGCAUCUCAUAUUGAUGUAUAGAGAUCAAAUUUUAAUAAUAUAAAAUGAAAUUUUAACA
rfam:Gossypium raimondii Chr01_contig_140, whole genome shotgun sequence.